UACGGGGAAAAGCAAGCGUUGUUCGGAAUUACUGGGCGUAAAAGGGCUCGUAGGCAGCCAACUAAGUCGGACGUGAAAUCCCUCGGCUUAACCGGGGAACUGCGUCCGAUACUGGAUGGCUUGAGGUUGGGAGAGGGAUGCGGAAUUCCAGGUGGUAGCGGUGAAAUGCGUAGAUAUCUGGAAGGAACACCGGUGGCGAAGGCGGCAUCCUGG
rnacentral:rRNA from 1 species